CGGGUGCACUGAUCCAGCCGGGCCUUUCCCUCUGUGGAACCCCAUGGCCUUCACUGGCUGUGGUGGGGAAACAGGACUUUUACUUUGAAAAAAUUAGAGUGCUCCAGGCAGGCCUAUGCUCGAAUACAUUAGCAUGGAAUAAUAGAAUAGGACGUGUGGUUCUAUUUUGUUGGUUUCUAGGACCGCCGUAAUGAUUAAUAGGGACAGUCGGGGGCAUCAGUAUUCAAUUGUCAGAGGUGAAAUUCUUGGAUCUAUUGAAGACUAACUACUGCGAAAGCAUUUGCCAAGGAUGUUUUCAUUGAUAAGGAACGAAAGUUAGGGGAUCGAAGACGAUCAGAUACCGUCGUAGUCUUAACUAUAAACUAUGCCGACUAGGGAUCGGACGAUGUUAUUCUUUGACGCGUUCGGCACCUUCCGAGAAAUCAAAGUGCUUGGGCUCCAGGGGGAGUAUGGUCGCAAGGCUGAAACUUAAAGAAAUUGACGGAAGGGCACCACCAGGGGUGGAACCUGCGGCUUAAUUUGACUCAACACGGGGAAACUCACCAGGUCCAGACACAGUGAGGAUUGACAGAUUGAGAGCUCUUUCUUGAUUCUGUGGGUGGUGGUGCAUGGCCGUUCUUAGUUGGUGGAGUGAUUUGUCUGCUUAAUUGCGAUAACGAACGAGACCUUAACCUGCUAAAUAGCCCGUACUGCUUUGGCAGUUCGCCGGCUUCUUAGAGGGACUAUCGG
rnacentral:rRNA from 1 species